UCAUCAUCAUCAGCGCUUGGCCCGUCUCCCUCCAGCAGUGGCUGACUGUCAAAACAUCAGAGUUGGCUGCAGCAGAAGCCAAUAAUUGCUCUCCUUCCCUUCCCAUCCUCUCCCUCCUCGUCUCUUUCUCCGCCAUCUCCUCAAACUGCUCUCUUCAUCUUCUCUCCUCCUCUUCCUCCUCCGUCGUGCCUGCGGAUAUUCAGCUUGCAUCUGCAAAUUUCAACUGACACACAUCUGAUAUGUUCGUGUUCAUGCUGGCAAACCAUGAGAAACACGUUCUUGCUGAUGGCCGUGUCAGAGAGGUCACAUCUUCCUCCGGGGUUGAGAACAUGACGAGCUGAGCUGGAAACUGCGGAGGAGAAUACGCUGAGUCAUUUCGGUUGAAAGGAACACGGGAGG